rnacentral:rRNA from 1 species
AGAGUUUGAUCCUGGCUCAGAGCGAACGCUGGCGGCAGGCCUAACACAUGCAAGUCGAACGAAGUCUUCGGACUUAGUGGCGGACGGGUGAGUAACACGUGGGAACGUGCCCUUUGGUACGGAAUAACUCAGGGAAACUUGAGCUAAUACCGUAUGUGCCCUUCGGGGGAAAGAUUUAUCGCCAUUGGAGCGGCCCGCGUCUGAUUAGCUAGUUGGUGGUGUAAUGGACCACCAAGGCGACGAUCAGUAGCUGGUCUGAGAGGAUGAUCAGCCACAUUGGGACUGAGACACGGCCCAAACUCCUACGGGAGGCAGCAGUGGGGAAUCUUGCGCAAUGGGCGAAAGCCUGACGCAGCCAUGCCGCGUGAAUGAUGAAGGUCUUAGGAUUGUAAAAUUCUUUCACCGGGGACGAUAAUGACGGUACCCGGAGAAGAAGCCCCGGCUAACUUCGUGCCAGCCGCCGCGGUAAUAC